GCGGUCGUGGCGUAAUGGUAGCGUAGGAGACUGUGGCUCUCCUGGCCCGGGUUCGAUUCCCGGCGAUCGCC
rnacentral:tRNA from 1 species